GAUGAACGCUGGCGGCGUGCCUAAUACAUGCAAGUAGAACGCUGAAGGAAGGAGCUUGCUCUUUCCGGAUGAGUUGCGCACGGGUGAGUAACGCGUAGGUAACCUGCCUGGUAGCGGGGGAUAACUAUUGGAAACGAUAGCUAAUACCGCAUAACAGUAGAUGUUGCAUGAUAUCUACUUAAAAGGUGCAAUUGCACCACUACCAGAUGGACCUGCGUUGUAUUAGCUAGUUGGUGAGGUAACGGCUCACCAAGGCGACGAUACAUAGCCGACCUGAGAGGGUGAUCGGCCACACUGGGACUGAGACACGGCCCAGACUCCUACGGGAGGCAGCAGUAGGGAAUCUUCGGCAAUGGACGGAAGUCUGACCGAGCAACGCCGCGUGAGUGAAGAAGGUUGUCGGAUCGUAAAGCUCUGUUGUAAGAGAAGAACGAGUGUGAGAGUGGAAAGUUCACACUGUGACGGUAGCUGACCAGAAAGGGACGGCUAACUACGUG
rnacentral:rRNA from 1 species